rnacentral:lncRNA from 1 species
GAGAAGUUGAGCAACUUGGAGGUGAAUAAAAAUGGGAAGUGCCUUCUAGACAUAUCAAUUCCUAUUCCAAAUAGUAUAUUCUUCAGGAAAGGUGAGAUAGGCGACUGGGCAAAUCACUUGACACCUGAAAUGGGAGCACGUCUAGAUGACAUAAUGGAGCGGAAGCUCAAGGGUUCAGGCUUGAAGCUGCCCAGGUGACUGUGCCUGGGCCCCGUUUGCUUAUUAUUAUUGGCUUAGUGGGUUCGUCAAAAGCUGUUAUCAACAUCUCGUGAAACAGCAACCGUGUAUCCCAAUAAAUACCCUCUCUGUUCAUCUCUUGUAUUUCCUAGCAAGUAUUCACAUUUUGUGAAUCAUCCAUGUCAAUAAGCAAUAUUCUUUUGUGAAUCUGUGUUUGUAACUUUCAUUGAUUUCCUUGCAAGUUUGUAAGAAUUAAAAAUGGGAUUCGUUUUUUAUUUAUUUAUUUAACACAAGUGCAUGCAUUCCAUUAAUCAGUGAUAAAAAAAAAUAAAAUUACUCUACUAUAUAAUAUUAGAGUGUUUUCUUCACAGAAAUUGCAGUGUGUUUUCUUCACACUGCAAUACAUGUUUUAAAAGAACCGAGACAACCAUACAUGAGGGCGGAGCAAAUACCAACCGAGACAACCAUCCAUUAAGAUUGUUGAAUUGAAGAUCAAAUGAACAUAGGCGGCACAUCUGCUGAAAGGAUCUCGAAAUGCCUUGUAAUUGGUUAAAAUAAAGAUCAAGAUCUGUAGGAGAACUCGUGUUUUCCACUCCUAAAAUAAGCCCAGUUGCCGGCUUCAUGUGCAACAGAGGCACAUAGAGAAUCUCCCCCCCCCCCCCUCCAGGCUCAGAUCACAAAUCUUCUUACUUCAAACCAAUCUUUUGGAACCGAUAUAUAUGUCGAGUGAUGGCUUGAUUUAUACCGGAGAUUGUGUUGGAAAAUUAAAGAAGCAUGGCUUAAUUUGUACCUUGGAUGCGCAAAUUGAUUACAGGAAAAUAUCAAAAAAAAAUUUCCUUUCUUUAUAACUUAUGAAGAGUAAAAUAAAAAAAAAGUUAAUAGUAAAACAAAAUAACCCCAAGUGUACAUUAUCAAUGCAAAACUAGAUUUUUCCUUAUUUUAUAUCCCUUUCUUUUGAUAUACUUCUUCUUUUAUGCCCCUUUCUUUUGGUAUAUCUCUUCUUUGUAUCUUUUGGUGUUAAUCACUUUGUUGAAUGCCUCUGUUGAUAUCUUUUAUAACUCACUACAGUGAUUUGAACAUUGAAAAUGUUUCCUUUUAAAAAAAAAAAAUAGAGAAGGCAUUUUGAUUUCAUCUUCAAUUUUUCUGCAUGUCUUCUUCUUUCAAAGUAUUGGGUUUAAAACACAAUCAUGCUCUACAUCAUGCUUUGAGUUUUCCAGGUUAUUUUCAGAAAGAUUUGAUAUAUUUGACCUGAAAGAAAAAAAGGAUGUACAAAGCUUUGCAUUUCUGGAACGUCUUUUCAUCAUGCUCUACAUGAUUCAAUCACAUUGCUCACAUCUACAUGAGUAACCAGAAAAGCAAGUAUUUCAUCGGAUUCUACAUGAUUCGAUCACUUCGCUCACAGCUUUAUGAGUCUCUGGUGAUAUCGUGUUUAAUUAAAUAGAAUAUUUAUUAUAAGAAACAGAUUUAUCAAAUAUAAUUGAGUAUAUGCCUCAUCAUAUCAAAUAUUUUAAUUAGAUGUAACUAUCUAGGUGGUGGUUCAGUGGUAAAAGUUUGGGACCAAGAUGUUUGUUCCCUCUGUGGUCUCAGGUUCGAGCCCUGUGGUUGCUCAUAUGAUGGUCAUUGGAGGCUUACAUGGUCGUUAACUUCAGGGCCCGUGGGAUUAGUCAAGGUGCACGCAAGCUGAUCCGGACAUCCAUGUUAAACUAAAAAAAUAUAUAUAUUUUAAUUAGAUGCGUGUGUACAAGUAUUUUAAUUUAUGAUUAAGAAUUUUUUUAUAUCAAAAAAAAAUUAAAAAGUCUGUAUAUUUAUUUUUCCUUGUUAAAACAAUUAUCUGAAAUAGCCAGUAAUCAACUAACUAUGAAAGAUAAGAUUGAGAAUUGAGAAGUUUAUUUGUCAGCAGACAGUAGCUUCAGUAGAUGGAAAAAGACUCUCUAGAUCACCGGAUCAAUUCCCACCUUCAUGAACUAUUUUUUAUUAGUACAGAAAGCUUCAUAUCAGUCAAAACUCUCUCUCUCUCUCUCUCUCUCUCUCUCUCUCUCUAAAUGGAUCAGAGACUACACAAAUAUAGAGGUGGAGCUUCACAUUAAGCUUCAGAUCAAUUUUCUAUUUUAAAAUCUCAUAAGUUUGGUCCAUUGAUUGCCCUAGAUUGCCCUAGAUUUUCCUGUGUUUUAUAUCCUUUUCUUUUGACAUUUUUUUUAAUCUUUUUCCAGGCCAAAAUCCUAAUUUAAUGUUUGAAAUUGAGAUGAUAAUUAUUUAACUAGAAAAUAUAUUAAAAUAAUAUUUUUUAUUUUUAAAAAUUUAUUUUAAUCAUCACCACAUUAAAACAAUCUAAAAUUAUAUAAAAAAAUUAAAAUAAUAAGAUUUAAAAAUAUUUUUUAAACACAAAAACAAACACAAUCAUCACUCAUAUAUCAUGAGAUUUGCAUUUAGACAUUAAAAUUCAAGAAGAAAUUAAGUUCACCGUACUAUUAAUUCAGUCGAUGAAGGAUUAGUCCCAACUACUUUAGGCCACCAUUAAUUACUUUAUUUAAAUGUAUACUUCUUUAUUAAUUCAGUCGAUGAAGGAUUAGUCCCAACUACUUUGGGCAUUUUAACUCCAUCUUCAAUUACUUUAUUUAAAGGUAUCCUUCUUUCUUAGAUAUUGAAUUUUGAAAACACAAUCAUGCUAAAGAUUUGUCAACGAAUUGUUUUUUAAAAUAAAAAAAUAUUUUAAAAAAUAAUUAAUACCAUACUACCGAGCAAAUGAAGUUAUGUGGAGGGUUCCGCACCAUUUAAAGGUUGUAAAGAAAGGUUUAAAACACAAUGACGAUAAAGAUUUGCUAUCGAAUAUAAUAUGAAAUAAUAAUACCCAAUUGCAUCAGCGGACAUGUGAUCAACAAUAUUAAAAUUCUGUAAAUUUUGAUUUAAUUCAAUUAUUGGAAUUCCAGGCAGCGUGGCAAUGUCAGAAAAUCUUGGACGAUGGUGACUAAAUGUUUGUAAAUGGAGACGGCACGUUCGCGGAAGGUAAUAGUCGAUGGUGCCAAAAAUUAAAUCAGCUCUCAACUCGUUACAAAUAGCUGCCAUGGCCUUUCAUUCUACAUUAUUUUUUCUUUUUUCACAUUCAUGGAAUCCUCUUUGCCUUCCACCCAAAUCUUGGAUUCUGGUGAAAGUGCUGAGAGGAAAAAUGAAGCUAAAAAUUACAAUGAAGUCAUGUCCACCCUUCCAAAAGUAAAAGGCUUGAAUGGGUGUGAUUAUUACCUGUACCAAUGCUUUUGGUACGAUCCCUCCUUCUUGGAAGGAAUCAUGUCUGUUCAAGAGCGCUUCAAUCCUCAAUCCACUGAUAUAUUUCUCGCCAGUUUUCCAAAAACUGGCACAACUUGGCUUAAGGCCCUCACUUUUGCUAUUUGUACACGAUCCCGUUUAAGUGGUUCAACAACUAGUUCUUUACUUUCCAAGAUGCCACAUGACUGUGUUCCUUUUAUGGAAUAUGACCUUGCUCAGAACCCAAGUAAUCGGGACUUGGCAAUUCCUCUGGUAUCUACUCAUGUUCCUUACACUUGUUUACCUAAAUCUAUCAUUUCUUCUUGUUGCAAGAUUAUUUACAUUUGCAGGGACGCAAAGGAUGUUUUUGUUUCUUUGUGGUACUUUCUUGCCAGGCUGCAAAUGUCUGAAAAUGUUGAGCCUCUUCUUCUGGAAGAGGCUUUUGAGUUGUUUUGCAAUGGAAUUGCAAAUUUUGGACCCUACUGGAACCAUGUUUUAGGGUACUGGAGAGCAAGCUUGGAGUUCCCCGAGAAGAUACUGUUCUUGACAUAUGAGGAAAUGAAGAAAGACACCGCUGCUCAUGUUAAGAAAUUAGCUGAGUUCAUGGGUUGUUCUUUCACCCUAGAGGAAGAGGAGGAAGGGGAGGUGCAAAAGAUAAUAGGCAUGUGUAGUUUUGAGAAGUUGAGCAACUUGGAGGUGAAUAAAAAUGGGAAGUGCCUUCUAGACAUAUCAAUUCCUAUUCCAAAUAGUAUAUACUUCAGGAAAGGUGAGAUAGGCGACUGGGCAAAUCACUUGACACCUGAAAUGGGAGCACGUCUAGAUGACAUAAUGGAGCGGAAGCUCAAGGGUUCAGGCUUGAAGCUGCCCAGGUGACUGCGCCUGGGUCCCAUUUGCUUCUGAUUAUUGCCGAAGUGGGUUCAUCAAAAGCUGUUAUCAACAUCUCGUGAAACAGCAACUGUGUAUCCCAAUAAAUACCCUCUCUGUUCAUCUCUUGUAUUUCCUAGCAAGUAUUCACAUUUUGUGAAUAAUCCAUGUGAAUAAGCAAUGUUCUUUUGUGAAUCUGUGUUUGUAACUUUCAUUGAUUUCCUUGCAAGUUUGUAAGAAUUAAAAAUGGGAUUCGUUUUUUAUUUAUUUAUUUAACACAAGUGCAUGCAUUCCAUUAAUCAGUGAUAAAAAAAAAAAAAUUACUCUACUAUAUAAUAUUAGAGUGUUUUCUUCACAGAAAUUGCAGUGUGUUUUCUUCCCACUGCAAUACAUGUUUUAAAAGAACCGAGACAACCAUACAUGAGGGCGGAGCAAAUACCAACCGAGACAACCAUCCAUUAAGAUUGUUGAAUUGAAGAUCAAAUGAACAUAGGCGGCACAUCUGCUGAAAGGAUCUCGAAAUGCCUUGUAAUUGGUUAAAAUAAAGAUCAAGAUCUGUAGGAGAACUCGUGUUUUCCACUCCUAAAAUAAGCCCAGUUGCCGGCUUCAUGUGCAACAGAGGCACAUAGAGAAUCUGAAAGCAGUUUUUAUGCACUAUCAGCAGAAUAAUUUGAUCAGUCAGAAUGAUCCCCCCCCCACUAGGCUCAGAUCACAAUUCUUCUUACUUCAAACAAAUCUUUUGGAACCGAUAUGUGGAGGGAUGGCUUGAUUUAUACCGGAGAUUUUGUUGGAAAAUUAAAGAAGCAUGGCUUAAUUUGUACCUUGGAUGCGCAAAUUGAUUACAGGGAAAAAAAUGACAGAAAGUGAGUUGCAGGGAAUGAAAAAGGCAUUAGUAAACUCAACAGCUUGCAGGGCAUCGUUCCUUGGUUUACUCCGUUUUAUUUCUUAUUUUGUUUUUCCUGCCAUUGUCUUAUGUUUGUCUAACUCGCAGUCUGGUCUCUGCAGAGAAUGAGAAAGCACAGACUCUUUAAGAGAAGAUAUUCUCCGGCAAUGGCAUCAAACAGAAAAGUCCGACGUUAACUAAAUGAGUUCAUGGGUCUCUUGUCUGAAUAUAGAAGUGCAGAAACUAAGCUUGACCAAAAACCCCCAUGCUACCAACUACAACUCAACAAGCAACAAAUCAAAUGAAUUGUGAUCCGCCAGUAAACAGCGAAUGGACACUGCCCCAGCAAUAGAUCAUACAAGCUCUGACCAACCGGUCAAAGAUCACGAGGACCCUACCCACUGCCCACUGACUGACAAUUCAUCAAAUAGAUUUAUUGCCGUUCACCACCUUAUUUAGAUGUAUUUUUAAAUAAUAUCCGUGAACUCAAAAAAAAAUCACUCAAAUAUCUCCCUAGAAAACUGACCUUGAACUCUUAACUAGGAGAAAAACAAAGAGGAAAAAUAGAGCUUAUAACAUAGGAAACUACGCUGAAAACUGAGGUGAAAAAAAGUGUAAGAAAUUCUGUAAAAAUGUCCAGAAACACUUUUUAUCACUUUUUACAGAGGAUUUUGAAACCUAAACCAAUGUAGAUUUACUUUUAGUAAUUAUUAAAAAUUAAUUUUUAUCAUUAUCAAUCUUAAUUAUCCGUUAUAAAUUAAAAUUAACCUUAACCCUUUUAGCUUUAAAUAUAAUGCUUUGUUAGAAUUAUAAAAACCAUUCAAAUUGAAAAAAAUUGCUUAGGCUGAAAAAAGUGUUCAGACUCUAUAUUCAUUGACAGUACAAACUGAUGGAUUAGAAAGAAAAAAAAUAUAUAGGCCAAAAAAUUAUAAAUCCAAACCCAAGUUUAAAAUAUAUUGAUAAAAAUUAAUUAUUUAUAGUUUACAAUAAAAUCAGACUUGGGACAAGCAAGCCAAUUAAGCAUGGGACUUCAACUCAAAGUUUACUUUACUUAGGUUUUUUUUUUUAAUCUGAGUGUAUUUUAAUCCAAUUUUAAUUCUUUAUAUUUUUAAUAUAUAAUUAACAAUAAAAAUGUUGUUUUUUUUACGUGAAAUAAAGGUUUUGAAUUUCACAAAGAUAUAUUCAUCAACAAAAUUAAAUUUUUAUUUAUUUAUAAUUUAUUUUAAUUAUUUUAAUAUUUUAUGUUAAAGAGAUUUGGUUGGAGAAUAAGUUUCAAUAAAAUUUAAAUCCGAAAAAUAAGUAGAUUUUAUUUUUAAUUUUAUUUCAAAUAUAUUUAUUUUUUAUGUUUUAAAACAAAUUUUAUCUCAUCUAUGUAUGUAUAAAUAUAUAAUCACAAUUCUCAAUACAGCACUUAUAGUUAGUUAUCGAACGAAAGAAUGUUAUCUCUUUCAGUAUGCCACAGAUAUUCAAAACACGGCGGUCACCCUUAUUAGCUUGCAGUCGUCUAUCGAAGUAUUAUCGCCAAAUCCACAGAAGCAAGGCAAACCACAGUUUUCUCUAGUUAUAGGACUAGACGGUACUGCGCUAGACUGCAGGUUUACAAUAUUUUUUCGAUAAAAUAUUUAAAUCAUGAGAAAAUCAUGCAUGAUUAAAAGAGUAAAAUUCAAAUUAAAAAUAUCAAUACAUGACAAAAUAAAAUUAAAAAAAAUUAAAUAAAAUUUUUAUAAAAAAACUAGAAUAAAAGAGAGGACUGAAACCGAAAAAGUUUAAACAAAAAGGACAUACCUGCAAUUUGAGGGGGGGAGGGAGGAGGAGAAAAAAAAAGGUUCAUCAACAACGAACUGCUCGACCUUCACCUACAUGUAUCGCACCAUGAGAAAGAGGAAGCAGUGAUGCUUCCAACAACACAAUAAAAUGUUUAUUUUUACAACUAGAGGUAUUGCAUGCUAUACUUGAAGUGCUAGCUUUUUAAAUUUUAAUAUUAUUUAUUUUUUUGUUAAAAGAUUACAAUGCGCAAACUAAAAAGAAAAACAAUAUAAAAAGAUAAAGUAUAACCUUGACCUAAAGCUUUUCUUUUUCUUUUUACUUCAAGGAUAUUUAAGUAAGUUUAGUGUACAUUCAAAAGCAUUUAAUGAAAUACCCUUCGACCAAGGUUUUUUUUUUUUUUAAAGUAUAAGACACUUAACAAAAUAAUAAAUAACAAAAAUUAAAAACUUAAAAAGACAAAAAAUACCCUUCGACCAAGGUUUUUUUUUUUUACUCCAAAGCAUUUAAUGAAUCUCGCCCAUAACGACAGCAAGUCUUUAAAAAGUGGAUUUCCUGAUGAAACCUGGAUAGUAUCAGUGCCAGCUCGAGCUCAGAAUGCGGCAUCUAUUGAUUAACUUACCAGUUACCAACACAAGGAGACACACACAACAACUUUAAAAAGGGCAUUAUAUAGCUAAACAUUGAUUAUUAUUUUUAUUUCAUUUUUAAUAUUAUAUUAAUUUUAAAUAUAUAUAUUUUUAAUUUCUCCAUUCAAUAACAAGUUGAAAUUCAUAAUUUUAUUUAAUUCAUUUCUUAUAAUAAUUUUUUUCCCAUCGUUUAAUUAAAUAAAAUAUUUAUUAUAAAAAAUAAAAUUAUUAAACAUAAUUGAGUAUAUGGCUUGUAUUUUUAGGUUAAAUAUUGUAAUUAGAUGUGGGUAUAAGCAUUUUAAUUUAUAAUUAAAAAGAAAAACUAUAUCCAAAAAAGAAUUUAAAAAACCUGUAUAUUUAUUUUUCAAUUAUCUAACCUGCAGCAGUGAAGUGCAAUUGAAAUAGCUAGUAAUCUAACUAAAAAAUUUAAGAUAAGAUUAAGAAAUGAGAAGUUUAUUUGUCAGCAGACAGUAGCUUCAGUAAAUAGAAAAUAUAGACUGUACUGCUGCUGAUCCCGGGAUCAAUGCCCACCUUCAUGGAUUAUAUAUAUAUAUAUAUAUAUAUAUAUAUUCAAUGUGAGAUAUUAAGUCAUUUAGUACAUACUAGUUAGAUGACUUGUGCGGUGCUGCGAGUUAAUUUUUUUUGCAUAAAAAUAUAUAAAAAAACUAAAAUCUAAAAGUAUUAGGUCUUUUUGCAAAGUUAUACCCAAGAAUCUUGGGUUUGGCUGCAACGCCUGACCCAAGAGUAAUAUUUAUAAUAUUAAUUAUAACAUUAAACUUGCAUGACUCAAGUUUAAAUGAGUCUAGAUGCAAUACCAUACCCAAUAGUCUUGGAUGUGGGUCUGGCUGCAAGGUCGUGUAAUAAAAGUGUGAUAAUUAAAUAGAUUAAUUAAAAAUAAAAAAAACAAAGAAAAAAACAAACAUGAAGAAAAAAACUAAUGAAGAAAAAGAAAAAAAAUUUGAAUUAACUGGGUUAACCCUUCAAACCAGGUUAAUCCGUCAAACCUUGGAUUCGUGUCGUGAAAGUUUGAUAACUAAAUAAAAAAAAAAUGAACAUUAACAAACUAAAUUAAAUGAAAAAAAUAAUUAAAAAAAAAAGCAUCAGCCUUUUCACUGUGGACUGCACUGUGCAGUCCACAGUCAAAUGCAUAAAAACAACAAAAAAGCAAAAAGAAAAACUAAAGGCAUCAAUCGAUAACUAAAUAGAAAAAAAAUUUAAUAUUGAUGAACUAAAUUAAAUAAAAAAAAUUAAAUAAAAAGAAGAAAAAACUUAUAAGAAGAAAAAAACUAAUGAAGAAAAAGAAAAAAAAUCUAAAUUAACUGGGUUAACCCGUCAAACCUGAGAUCCGUGUCAUGAAAGUCUGACAACUAAAUAAAAAAAAUUUAAUAUCAAUAAACUAAAUAAAAAAAUUAAUUUAAAAAAAAGGCAUCAGCCUUUUCACCGUGGAUUGCACUGUGCAGUCCAUAGUGAAAGGCAUGAAAAUAAAAAAAACAAAAAAAAACUAAAGGCAUCAGCCUUUUCACUGUGGACUGCAUAGAAUAUUAAAAGAUGAAAUCGGAAGAACAAAACUAAUGAGGAAAAAGAAAAAAAAAAUCUGAAUCAACUAGGUUAAUCCGUCAAAUCAAGUUAACCCGUCAAACUUGAAAGUGUGAUAACUAAAUAGAAAAAAGAUUUAAUAUUAAUGAAAUAAAUUAAAAAAAGAUUAAUUAAAAAGGAAAAAAGCAAAGAGAAAAAAGACCAACAGGAAGAAAAAAACCUAAUGAAGAAAAAGGAAAAAAAUCUGAAUUAAGUGGGUUAACUGGUCAAACCUGGGAUUCGUGUCAUGAAAAUCUGAUAAUUAAACAGAAAAAAUUUAAUAUUAAGAAACUAAAUUAAAAAAAGACUAAUUAAAAAAAGACAAAAAAAAACUAAAGGCAUCAGCUUUUUCACUCUUAAAAAGGAAAAGAGAGAAAAAUAAAAACAAAAGCAAACGCCACGGGUUAAUUUUUUUUUUCUUGCAUAAAAAAUAUUAAAAAAAACUAAGAUCUAAGAGUAUUAGGUCUUUCUGCAAAGAUAUGCCCAAGAGCCUUUGGUUUAGUUGCAACGCUUGACCCAAGAGUAAUAUUUAUAAUAAUAAUAAUAAUAAUAAACUUACAUGACUCAAGUUUAAGUGAGUCUGGCUGCAAGGUCGUGUCAUAAAAGUGUGAUGAUUAAAUAUAUUAAUUAAAAAGAAAAAAACCAACAUGAAGAAAAAAACUAAUGAAGAAAAAGAAAAAAAUAUGAAUUAACUGGAUUAACCCUUCAAACCAGGUUAACCCGUCAAACCUGAGAUUCAUGUUAUGAAAGUUUGAUAACUAAAUAGAAAACAAAAUUGACGGGUUAACCUGUCAAGCCUGGGAUACGUGUCAUGAAAGUCUGAUAAUUAAAUAGAAAGAAAUUUAACAUUAACAAAAUAAACUAAACGAAAAAAAAUUAAUUUAAAAGAAAAAAAGUAAAAAAAAAAUUCUAGGUUAACUCAUCAAACCAAAUUAACCCAUCAAAUCCGGGAUCCGUGUCAUGAAAGUCUGAUAACUAAAUAAAAAAAAUAACAUUAACAAACUAAAUUAAACAAAAAAAAUUCAUAAAAGAAAAAAAAACACAGAAAAAAAACAAAAAAAACAUAAAGGCAAAAAAAACAAAAACAAAAUUAAGUGAGAAUUACUGAUGUGCUUUGCCAAGCUUUGCAACAGAAAUCUCAAGACAUUUUAAAUGCUAUGCAUUUGCUGACUACCAUAAAGACUUUAAUUCAGAAGUUAAGAGAUGAUGGAUUGGAAACUCUUUUAGAACAAGUGACAUCAUUUUGUAAGCAUAAAAACAUUGAAGUUCCUGAUAUGGAUGCUUGUUUUUCUAGUGUGGGACGAUCUCGCUGUAAAACAAAAUCAAUAACAGUUGAGCAUCACUAUCGAGUUGAUAUAUUUAUAGCUAUCAUUGAUCAAUAGUUGCAAGAGCUAAAUAAUAGAUUCUAUGAGCAGGCGAUCGAGCUUCUUAAGUUGAGCAUAGCUUUAGAUCCUAAAAAUAACUAUAAAUUAUUCAGUGUUGAAGAUAUAUGCUAACUUGUUGACAAGUUCUAUCCUGAAGACUUUUCUGACCAAGAAAAAACUCAUUUGAGAUUUCAGUUGCAGCAUUAUGAGCUUGAUGUACCCAAUCAUCCAAAGUUAAAGAAUAUGUCAUCGAUUGCUGAUUUAUGUCAAGGACUGGUUGAAAUAGAAAAAUCAACAAUUUAUCUACUCAUUGAUAAGUUGAUUCGACUUAUUUUGACUCUUCCUGUUUCGACAGCAACUACUGCACGAGCUUUUUCAGCGAUGAAGAUUGUUAAAACAAGACUUCGCAAUCGGAUGGAGGAUGAUUUUCUUGCAAAUUAUUUGAUUGUCUAUAUAGAAAAAGAAAUUGCUGAAAGAUUCACAAUUGAUAUGAUAAUCGAUGAUUUCUACUCCAUGAAAGAAAGACAAAAACAAUUAAAAUAAAUAUGUAAGAAUCAUUCUUUAUUACUUUUUAUUUUAUUUAAAAGUUUUAUCAAACAUAAAUAAUGUAUCGCUUUAGCUAAUGUUUCUUAUAUAUUUUGUAUGUUUAUAUUUGAUAGGUACAAAAACCAACAAAAUUAAAGUGAUGAAUACAUUAUGAAGAUGAAAUUAACUUCAUAGCUUUGACUUAAUUUGAUAUUUGCUUUAAACAUCUUAUCUUAUACAAAAAUCAUAAUAUGUUUGUAAUUACUUUUUUGAAUAAAACUAAAUCAUGUCGUUUUUGUUUUUGUUUUUAUUUUUAUUUUUAUGUAAAGUAAAUUUUUAAAUAAAUUAUAUCUUUUAUUAUUUUAACCCCCAUUCAAAUAAUCCCAGCCCCUGACCGCAAUAACAAUCAAAAUAAAAUCUAAUUCUACCGGCUGCUAAGAAUACUAAAAUAGUGUAAAUUUUGACUUAAUUCAAUUAUUAGAAUUCGGGGCAGAUAACAGUGUUGAAGAAAAUGUCAGAAAAGUAGGGUAAACAGUACAAAUACCUUGGAUGAUGGUGACUAACGCCGUUUGUUUACGCGGGCGCGGGUGCGGUUGCCUUUUAAUUAAUAAAUAUCGGUAGUUGGAGACUUCUUGUUCUCGAAAAGAAAUAGUUAAUAGUGCCAAUAAUUAAUCUGCUCUCAACUUGCUACAAGCUGUCAUUACUCAUUACCAAAAUAUUAAAGAAACAAAUAUUUCCUAUUAGUAGAAAAGCGAUCUAAUAAAGCGAUUGUUCAGUUGACGUUAUUGAAUUGCUUUUUUAUAAAAAGUUAAUUUUUAAAUAUUUAUAGAUUAUUUUAUAUAUAAAUUUAAAAAAAAUCUUAAAAAAUUUAAAAAUAUAUUUUAAUAUAAUUAAAAAAAACAUUUGAAAAACAAUUAAUAGUAUAGUCUCAGGUCUCAACCACCCAAAAUAUACAUUUGAAAAACAUUUUAUAUACCUUGGAUUAAAUUGUGUUGUAGGUUCCACACCAUUUAAAGCUUGCAAAGAAGGAUUUAAAACACAAUCACGCUAAAGAUUUGCAAUCCAAUAUAAUAUGAAAUAAAACCCCAUUGCAUCACCGGACAUGUGAUCAAUAAUAUUAAAAUACUGUAAAUUUUGAUUUAAUUCAAUUAUUAGAGCUUGAGGCAGCGUGACAAUGUGAAAGAAAAUGUCAGAAAAUCUUGGAUGAUGGUGACCAUAUCAGUAAUUUGAGACAGCAAGUUCUCGAAAGGUAAUAGUUGAUGGUACCAAAAAUUAAACCAGCUCUCAACUCGCUACAAAUAGCUGCCAUGGCCUUUCGUUCUACAUUAUAUUUCUUUUUUUACUUUCAUGGAAUCCUCUUUGCCUUCCACCCCAAUCUUGGAUUCUGGUGAAAGUGCAGAGAGGAAAAAUGAAGCAAAAAAUUACAAUGAAGUAAUGUACACCCUUCCAAAAGUUAAAGGCUUGAGGGGGAAUGAUUAUUACCUGUACCAAGGCUUUUGGUACUCUUCCUUCUUCUUGGAAGGACUCAUGUCUGUUCAAGAGCACUUCAAUCCUCAAUCCACUGAUAUAUUUCUCACCAGUUCUCCAAAAACUGGCACAACUUGGCUUAAGGCCCUCGCUUUUGCUAUUCUUACACGAUCCCGUUUAAGUGGUUCAACAACUAGUUCUUUACUUACCAAGAUGCCACAUGACUGUGUUCCUUUUUUGGAAUAUCACCUUGCUCAAAACCCAAGUAAUCGGGACUUGGCAAUUCCCCUGCUAUCUACUCAUGUUCCUUACAGUUGUUUACCUAAAUCUAUCAUUUCUUCUAGUUGCAAGAUUAUUUACAUUUGCAGGGACGCAAAGGAUGCUUUUGUUUCUUUGUGGUGCUUUUUUCCGCGCAUCAAAUGUCGAAAAAUGUUGAACCUCUUCCUCUGGAAGAGGCCUUUGAGAUGUUUUGCAACGGAAUUUCAGUCUUGGGACCAUAUUGGGACCAUGUUUUAGGGUAUUGGAGAGCAAGAUUUGAGUUCCCUGAGAAGAUAUUGUUCUUGACAUACGAGGAAAUGAAGAUAGACACCGCUGCUCAUGUUAAGAAACUAGCUGAGUUCAUGGGUUGUUCUUUCACCUUCGAGGAAGAGGAGGAAGGGGAGGUGCAAAAGAUAAUAAGCAUGUGUAGUUUUGAGAAGUUGAGCAACUUUGAGGUGAAUAAAAAUGGGAAGCACCGUCCCGUCCGGACACAUCAAUUGCUAUUCAAAAUAGUUUAUACUUUAGGAAAGGUGAGAUAGGCGACUGGGCAAAUCACUUGACACCUGAGAUGGGAGCGCGUCUAGAUGACAUAAUGGAGCGGAAGCUCAAGGGUUCAGGCUUGAAGCUGCCCAGGUGACCGUGCCUGGGGUCCCAUUUGCAUAUGAUUAUUGCCGAAGUGGGUUCAUCAAAAGGUGUUAUCAGGAUGUCGUGAAACAGCAACUGUGUAUCCCAAUAAAUACCCUCUCUGUUCAUAGCAAGUAUUCACAUUUUGUGAAUCUUCCAUGUCAAUAAGCAAUAUUCUUUUGUGAAUCUGUGUUUGUGACUUUCAUUGAUUUCCUUGCAUGUUUGUAAGAAUUCAAAAUGGGAUUCGUUUUUUUUUUUUAUUUAACACAAGUGCAUGCAUUCCAUUCAUCAGUUUGAUAAAAAAUAAAUUUACUCUAAUAUAUAAUAUUAGAGUGUUUUCUUCACAGAAAUUGCAGUGUGUUUUUCUUCACAGCUAUACAUGUUUGAAAAGAACCGAGACAACCAUACAUGAGGGUGGAGCAAAGACCAACCGAGACAACCAUCCAUUAAGAUUGUUGAAUUGCAGAUCAAAUGAACGUAGGCGGCACAUCUACUGAAAGGAUCUCGAAAUGCCUUGUAAUUGGUUAAAAUAAAAGAUCAAGAUCUGUAGGAGAACUCGUGUUUUCCACUCCUAAAAUAAGCCCAGUUGCCGGCUUCAUUUGCAACAGAGACACAUAAAGAAUCUGAAAGCAGUUCUUAUGCACUAUCAGCAAAAUAAUUUGACCAGUCAGAAUGAUUUUUUUCCCCCUUACUAGGCUCAGAUCACAAUCCUUCUUACUUCAAACAAAUCUUUUGGAACCGAUAUGUCGAGGGAUGGCUUGAUUUAUACCGGAGAUUUUGAUGGAAACUUAAAGAAGCGUGGCUUAAUUAUACCUUGGAUGCGCAAAUUGAUUACAGGGAAAAAAUGACAGAAAGUGAGUUGCAGGGAAUGAAAAAGGCAUUUGUAAACUCAACACCUUUCAGGGCAUCGUUCCUUGGUUUACUCCCUUUUAUUUCUUAUUUUGUUUUUCCUGCCAUUGUCUAAGUUUUUCUAACUCGCAGUCUGGUCUCUGCAGAGAAUGAGACAGCAAAAACGCUUUAAGAGAAGAUAUUCUCCGGCAACGGCAUCAAACAGAAAAGUCUGACAUCAACUAAGUGCGUGUUUGACACUCCGGUUAUGUUUACAUAAAAAACAUCGUUGUCAUGUGUUUGGUUACAGUCUAAACAUAAUUUUCUGUUUGUGAGACCCGUUAUCAUUUGCUUUUAAACCGCAAGAUAACCAAAAGCAACUUCAAGCUGCCUUUUGUGUUGAGUUGCAAACUUUAUAAACAAAGGCCACAAGAAAAAGAGCAGAAACAUAGCAGUGAAUAGUAAACAGUGGAGAGUAGCUCCCUCUCACCACCGGCAUCCACCGUUUCCACCGCCAGCCACUGCUCUUCCUCUUCCCCUUCUCCUUCUCCUUUAUCUUCUGCAUUGUCCACUGUUCACGUUGCAUGUGAACAGUGGAGAGCAGCUCACCACCGGCCUCCGCUGUUUCCACCGCCAGCCACUACUCUUCCUCUUUCCCUUCCCCUUCUUCUUCUUCUUCUACAUUUUCCACUGUUCACAUGAACAGUGGAGAGCAUCUCCACUAUUCAUGGCCGGAUUGGGUCUGACCCAAACCUAAAUGCAUUGGACUGGGUCCGACCAAGUAAAAUAAAAAAAUCUAAAAACAUUUCUUAGAUAUUGUGUUUUAUUUGAAAAACUAGUGUUUAAAAUUAUUCAAUGACACUAUAUAAUUAUAUUAGAAGGAGAUCGCAUGAUGACAUAGCAUUUGCAGAAUUUGAUUGCAAUCCCAAUUUUGUUCCUAAUGAUAUUUUACCUGAUGUGAUGAUAUUUUACCUGAUGUUGGUAUACGUUCAAGAAGCCAUGAAAACUGUAGUUCUUGUCGGAUGGAUUUCGUACGUGAUUGAAUUGCAAAUAGUUUAAUAAAACAAUAAAAAAUACUUUAUAUAAAGUAUUGUUUAUUUCAUGAUUUAAUAGCAGUAGUUAAAUCUAUAAUAUUUCAAUUAAAAACCAUCAAUAUUAAUAUAUGUUUUUUUUAAUUAUUUUAUAACCUUAAUUUGAAAAAUAUUCUUUAAACCAAACACAUUAAACUACUUUUUGUUCAACCUCAAUUUCAACCACAAUUUUAACCAAAUAUAUAUUUUUUCAAACCAAUCUCAACUAAAAGUAAUUUUUAUAAAACAACUUUUUCAAACUAUAACCACAACAGCUACCACAAUACCAAAUACACAUAAAAAAAACUGUAAUGAUAAGCAAGUUAAAGUGCCACCAUUGAUUUAGGAUCUGCUUUAGAUCUUAUAAGGUGAAAGUAAAACACAAGGAAAUGCAUGCAUGCACACCACUAAUCUUUGAUUCUGGCGAGAACAGUGAUGACUACACUCAGAACCAUAUAGAAUUACAUUCCAAGAUGAAGAAAUUAAUAACAGAGCAGUGCUAUAAAGCUAAAUGUGAGAACCAAAGAUUAAUAAGCAAUGCUGAAAAUUUUAUCAUGCAUAAGAUGAGAGAAGCACAGGACAGAUUUUAUCAAAUCUAUAGUUUUUCUUCAAUAAUAAUAAUAUUUUUUAAAAAUUUAAUAAUAAUAAAAAAAAAAAACUCAUGUUCCUUGGCUCUUUCUCUUGCCAAACUGAAGCUACCAUAGUCAAAUCCAAGUAACUUAGAUGUCACGCUCUUGCUAAACCCAAGUUAUUUGGGUAUGACAUCUCAUGCUGGACUCAUAGCAUUCCAGAUCAAAGGUGUUGAUAUCUAACAAUAAUACCUCACCCGAGCCCUAAGAUGUGAUUGCUUUUCUAGACCCGAGGGCCAAGGCACCAAGACACUAUUCACUAUAAGUCAAGUCAAUGAAUCAAUCAAUCGAUUUUAAAGAUCAAGUUUUUUUUUUAAUAGAGAAACAAAACUUUUAUUAACAUUGAAAUAACUCUUAAAAUCUUAAUAAAAUUAAUUUGAAGUAAAAAUAAUAUUAAAAGAAAUAUUCAGAAGCACUUUUUGAUUGUAAAAUCAAACACACUAAAAUCAUGUAGAUUUUCAUUUAGACAUUAAAAUUCAAGAAGAAAUUAAGUUCACAGUACUAUUAAUUCAAUCGAUGAAGGAUUAGACCCAACUACUUUAGGGCCACCAUUGACAUUGAUUACUUUGAAUAAUUUUAAUUUAUAGGCAUAAAAAAUUAAUACAUAUCUUUAAGAGGAUCAAUUUUAGAUUAUCUCUCUCUCUCUCUCUCUAUUUUUUUUUUGGUUUUCAAAUAUUUGACAUUUUCGUUUAGAUAAGCUCUAGUGUGUGUUUUUUUAAGAUUAUUUUAAAUCAUGUUUCUUGAAAUGUCAAAAACAUUUCAUGGAUUAAUUUAACUUAAUAACGCCAAAGAAUUAGGAAUUAAAACUGACAAUUUCCACCAUGUAAGAGUACCUAAUUGAAAAUUUACUUUCUUAUCAUUUACCUCAAUUAAGCGGAAGCAUGAUCAUGAGAAGGGAUUUGGAGAAAGAAUUAUAAACAGAGAAUAAGAGAAAAUGUAAUGUGUAUAGAUUUUCUUAAUGAAUUAAUUAUGAUACAACAGAAGCUCAUAUAUAUAUAUAUAUACAUUCUAAACUAAUCAGUUAUGAAAUGUUAUUACAAAUAUAAUUUGAAUUUCAAUUUUAAAAUCAUGAUUAGUGCAGGUUUAUCAAUGCAGCAGAAUAUCCAUCAUAAACAAGAAGUUCACAGUUACAAAGUUUGAAUCUUUGUAACUGUAACUCUCUUUUGAAACUCUCUUCUUGGUCUUCAAUAUCCGUUAGCUAGCUGGAGAUGUAACAGUUACAAAGUUUGAAUCUUUGUAACUGUAACUCUCUUCUUGGUCUUCAAUGUCUGUCAGUUACAAAGUUUGAAUCUUUGUAACUGUAACUCUCUUAUGCUUAACAUUCCCCUGCAAACUGAUGGGGAUAGGAAUCACCAUCAAUUUGGACCGUAAAAACAUAAACCUUGCUGUAGUAUGACCUUUGGUGAAGACAUCUGCAAUCUGGUCAUAUGUUGAAAUAUAUCGUACAAGAAUAUCCUUAUUAAGAACUUUUUCACGGAUGAAGUGAUAAUCCACCUCUAUGUGCUUCGUUCGGGCAUGAAAAACAGGAUUAGAGGCAAGAGAUAUUGCACCUACAUUAUCACACCAUAGUGUAGGAGGUGACGACAAUGAAAUGCCAAGAUCUUGCAAUAACAUUCGAAGCCAAUAUAGUUCAGCAGUGACAAGAGCCAUGGAUCGAUAUUCGGCCUCAGUACUGGAUUUAGACACAACACUUUGUUUCUUUGCACUCCAGGAUAUGAGAUUUUGGCCUAGAAACACAAUAUAACCACUUGUAGAUUUUCUAUCAUCAGGAUUCCCAGCCCAAUCUGCAUCACAGAAAGCAUCUAAUGUUGUUGUCGAUUGAGUGUAGUGAAUACCAUAAUCAAUUGUUCCUUUCAAGUAACGAAGAACUCUUUUGGUAGCAAUCCAGUGUGGUUCUCGUGGAGCAUGCAUGAAUUGGCAUAAUUGGUUCACUGCAUAGCUGAUGUCAGGUCUUGUUAAAGUGCAAUAUUGAAGAGCACCAAUAACUUGAUGAUAUUCAGUUGGAUCAUUCAAUAUCCGUUAGCUAGCUGGAGAUGUAACAGUUACAAAGUUUGAAUCUUUGUAACUGUAACUCUCUUAUGCUUAACAUUUGGGAGGCACUUAGAUUAGGCUCUUCUCUAGUCUUGAGAAGCAAAACCAAUAGAGACGUGAUUGCGCACUCCCUGAGCUAUAUAGUAAGUGGCUGCAAACAAAUUGUCAGCACCAAUUCAGGUCCGGAAAAUUAAAGCAUUGAAGCAUAAAAGGUGACCUAACCUAAUUAAGCAAAUUACUACUUAUUCCAGCAUCACCUAGGAGUGAGACAGCCAGCCCAUCCAGUGUCUACAUGGUAAGGGAAUAAUUCCUUCAAGAAUGCAGAGAAAAUUAUACUUGCAAUACAACUAUAAACGAGAUGGUACAGUGCGGAAGGCAAGAUGUUAAAUCAAUUGAUCUUAUUAUAAUACUGUGAAAUAUGAUCAGGACAAAAAAAUAAAUAAAGAAAGAAAGAGUUGUUUAUUUUACAAUGAUCGAUAUGAUGCUUCUUUGCAUGUGGAAUCUUCGUCAAAGACUUGUUGAAAAUGCCAAAUUGUGAUCCACUUUUGGCUGUGUCAAAUGCAUGGGUGGGGCUUCACACAGAGCUAUUACCCCUUGUGUAAACUCAACGCCAGUUUUCAUGAGUUCUUUGGGAUUCUAACAUAGUAAAAAAAAGAAAGAUAAAAUAACAAAGUGUAAAGAAUAUUUAGUGAAAUAGAUAUUCGUGAUUAAUCAGUAGCAAUUAUUAUAUGCUGGCUCUCUCGGGUUUACUUGACAGAAGAUUUAUUAAAAAGAGUUGAUAAAGGAGAAAGAAAAGAAAAGAAAAUCUUCAAGGUAUAUCAAAACUCUGAUAAUAAUAUUAUUGGUAUUGUUAAAAAAAUCUCGACAAGACAAAUCGAAAAAUAACAAUGAAGGUCAUCAAUGACGAUAAAAAUAAGUCAUACGAGUGGCCCAAGAUAAGUGAGUUUUAAUACUUUUGAACAGCUUGUAUGAUUCAUUUUAUUCACUAUUUAUAAUCUUUUUUGAUGCUGUUAAAUUCAUCUUGUAAUGAUGUUGAUAAUGUUAUCAUUAUAAUUUCAAUGUAUUUUUAUUUUUAUUAUUAUUUUUUGUUUUGCUCUCUCUCCUCUCUCAUUGUAAUUUAUGAAGAGUAAGAGAGGGGGAAAAAAAAAACCCUAGUCUUCCAAUUUAAUCUGGCUGAAUACUACUAUCUCAAUCUUAUUCACUACUUUGUCAAAGCAAAGUAGAUUUUUCCUUAAAUAAGAUCUAAUCCACCGGCGGAUAGGUGAUCAAGAAUAUUAAAUUAGUGUAAAACUUGAUUUAAUUCAACAUUAUAAUUAGAGGUGCUAUAAUAAUGUGAAAAAAAGAAUAAAAAAACUAGAUGAUGGCGACCACAUAUCAAUAAUUCCAGACAUCACGUGGAGCACUUUCAUCAUCAUUAUUAUUAUUGGUAUAAUAAUGUUUGUUGUAUUAUUUUUUAAUUGUUAAGUUGUUUACUAUAUGUUAAAAUUUCAAGAUCUUCAAAGAUUGGGAAGAUCGGAUCUAAAGUUACUAUGGGACUGUCUUUAUUUUCCUAUUUGGAUUUUUUUAUUUAUAUUAAGAAUUUAAAUUUAAUUAGUAUUUUAUUAUUUAAAAAUUUUAAUGGUAAAUUGAUUCUAUUAGUUAGGUAAAUUUUAAAUAUAAAUUAUUUUUCUAUACAAAAUUUUAAAUCUAGAACUAAUAUAAAUAAAAAUAUUUAGUUUAUUUUUGUUCGAGGAUUCAUAUUAUUAUUUAAAUUUUUUUAUAAAUAUUUAGAGAUUUUUUCUAAUUUCCUAUGGUGUUAGGGAUUAUAACCUUAAGGUUUGGUUUGAAAUAAUGAUGACAGUUAUUUCUUAAAGUGUUUUUCACUUGAAAAUACAUUAAAAUAAUAUUUUUUUUAUUUUUUAAAUUUUUUUUUGAUAUCAGCAUAUCAAAACAAUUCAAAAACACCAAAAACUUAAUUUGAAAAAAAAUCAAAAUUUAUAAAAACCCCGGUUAAAAUGUUUUACCAAACACUUCUUAGUUUUUAAUAUUAAUACAUCAAAACAAUCCAAAAAUAUUAAUUUAAAAUUUUUAAAAACUCCGGUUGCGUUUGUAAGAUGUGUUGCGGCUCUCAACUUGCUACAAUGGCCUUUCUUUAAUAUUUUAUUUACACCAUUCAUGGAACCCUCUUUGCCUUCCACACAAAUCCCGGAUUUUGGUGAAACUGCUAAGAGGAAAAAUGAAGAGCUUUCCAAAGGCCAUGCUAAAACUACAAAGAAGUGAUCUCUACCUUUCCAGAAGUUAAAGGCUUUUGGGACGUUCCGCUCUUCUUGGGAAGACUCAUGUCAGUUCAAGAACACUACAAGCCUCAAUCCACUGAUAUAUUUGUCGCCAGCUUUCCAAAAACGAAGGAAAUCUUUGGUUAAUGUUCUCUGAAUCUCUCCUUUUCUCCUUCAAGAGUGAAAUUUAUGUGCCUUUCGUACCUUUUUACGUUAGAACAUUUCAUUUGUUCUUGUUUUCUAAAUUGAGUCUUUUCUAUGCGUUUUAUUAUUUUAUUUAUUGGGUAUUUGAGAGUGUAGUAAUAGUUAUAAUUUAAAGUGUUUUUAUUCAAAAAUAUAUUAAAAUAAUAUAUAUUUUUAAUUUUUUAAUAUUCAUCUUUUGACAACAUCACUCCAAAACAUUAGAAAACAUAAAAAAAAAAAAAACAAUUAGAAAACAAUUAGAAAACGCAAGAUUGCAUCAAUGCUAAAUGCAAUAUAUAUAUAUAGGUGCGCGCGCGCGCGUGUGUGAGAGAGAGAGAGAUCCACCUGUGUGUGAAAUGCAUAGUGAUGUUCCACAGCGAGCCAUUAUCUAUUAUGUAAAAUCUCUGAGAAAUGUCAUAGAUCAAUUGGUCGAUAUAGCAAAUUGAUAGGUUAAAGCUGCUCAUAAUCAAUACCUCUAAAAGAUUAUCUUUGGUGGAGAUGAAAACUUUUUGAUAUGUAAAUAAGUAUUUAAAAAAAAAUUAAAUAUUCUAUAAAGAGAUGUUCUGAAAAUACAAAUGCAGUAGAGAAUUGGAGAUUGUGAAUCUUUAUUAUGAAGGUCUCAUGAUAUAUUUAUAGCUCGAAUCUUGUCAUUUUGUGAAAAUAAGAGUUUGCAGUGUAAUUAACCUGAUAACAUUUAAUGAGGAAUAAAUAUCAUUUACAUGAUGGGAAUAUGGUGGGUCCUCGAAGGAGUUUUAUACACCUUAAAAGGUAUCAGAAAAUUAGAGUUUAAGAUAUCAAGUGUAGCUGAGCUUAUAGAGAUCAAGUUCUUUCUUGAGAUUAAAUCCAAGGGAGGUUUGUCAUUCCCCUGGACAUGCCAAGGAAGAAUGGUUAUUAUCUUGGACUUGGUUGGUUGCCAAAUCCAAGCAUCUUGGGCAUGACAUGCGUGCCAGAUCCACACUACCUUGAAGUUGGAGCACUACUAAGUCCAAGCGCCUCGGGUCUGACAUGCAUGCCAGACUUAUACUACGCUGGACUUGGUGCAUUACUAAGUCCAAAUGCCUUGGGUCUGAUAUGCCUGUUAGACCUAUAUUAUCUUGGGCUUGACGCAUUACUAUAUUCAAGCACCUUGAACUUAAUUAAUUGUCAAGUCCAUGCAUCUUAGAUUUAGAUCUAACAUAUACACUAGACUCAUAUUACAUUGAAUCUAGCGCAUUACAAAGUUAUAAUGCCUUGAAUUAAGUAUAUGUGCCACAUCCAUACAUUUUAAAAAACCAAACGAAAACUAAAUAAAAAGUUGACUCAUCGCUAAUCUAUAAAUACUAUCUACAUAAUGGCCUUAGUUGAUAUCUUCUACCGCUUACUACAUUUACUUGAAUAAUGAAAAUGUUUUUUUUUUUUAAUGGAAAAGAGAUUUUAACUCCAUCUUCAAUUACUAUAUAAAUGUUUCCUUGGGUUUUGAAAACGCAAUCAUGCUAAAAAUUUAUUAUCUAAUAUAAAAUAAAAUGUAUUUGUUUUUAUAUUUUAAAAAUGUUUUUUUUUUAAUUUUUUAAUUUUCAUCUUGUUUUGAUGUGUUAAUAUUAAUAAUAAAUUUUAAAAAUAAAAAAAAUAUUAUUUUAAUAUAUUUUUUAAAUUAAAAAUAUUUUAAAAAAUAACUAUUACAACAUUAACGAAUAAGAUUUAAUAUAAAAAACAUUCUAAUUGCAUCAGCUGAGAGGUGAUCAACAAUACCGCAUUCCCGAACUUCACAUCCCUAUAUUAAUGGAUUGUGUUGUGGGCUCCACGCCAUUUAAAGCUUGUAAGAGAAACCACACCUCUAAAUAGAAACCACACGAUCACGCUAAAAGAUUUGCUAUCGAAUAUAAUAUGAAAUAAAACCCAAUUGCAUCAGCGGACAUGUGAUCAAUAAUAUUAAAAUAAGGUAAUAGUUGAUGGGCCACAAAUUAAACCAGCUCUCAACUCGCUACAAAUAGCUGCCAUGGCCUUUCAUUCUACGUUAUAUUUUCAUUUUUUACAUUCAUGGAAUCCUCUUUGCCUUCCACCCAAAUCUCGGAUUCUGGUGACAGUGCAGAGAGGAAAAAUGAAGCUAAAAAUUACAAUGAAGUGAUGUCCACCUUUCCGAAAGUUAAAGGCUUGAAUGGGUAUGAUUAUUACCUGUACCAAGGCUUUUGGUACGCUCCCUUCUUCUUGGAAGGACUCUUGUCUGUUCAAGAGCGCUUCAAUCCUCAAUCCACUGAUAUAUUUGUCGCCAGUUGUCCAAAAACUGGCACAACUUGGCUUAAGGCCCUCACUUUUGCUAUUUUCACACGAUCCCGUUUAAGUGGUUCAACAACUAGUUCUUUACUUACCAAGAUGCCACAUGACUGUGUUCCUUUUUUGGAAUAUCACCUUGCUCAAAACCCCAGUAAUCGGGACUUGGCAAUUCCUCUGGUAUCUACUCAUGUUCCUUGCACUUGUUUACCUAAAUCUAUCAUUUCUUCUUGUUGCAAGAUUAUUUACAUUUCCAGGGACGCAAAGGAUGCUUUUGUUUCUUUGUGGUACUUUCUUGCCAGGCUGCAAAUGUCGAAAAAUGUUGAACCUCUUCCUCUGGAAGAGGCAUUUGAGUUGUUUUGCAAUGGAAUUGCAAAUUUUGGACCAUAUUGGGACCAUGUUUUAGGGUAUUGGAGAGCAAGCUUCGAGUUCCCUGAUAUUGUUCUUGACAUACGAGGAAAUGAAGAAAGACACCGCUGCUCAUGUUAAGAAACUAGCUGAGUUCAUGGGUUGUUCUUUCUGUUGCAUUAAACUCAAUCUAGAAGGUUAAGGAAGGCAACCACCACUUGCAGCCACUAGCUGUCACCGCCUAGCCGCCAGCCGUCUUCAUACUUGAAAGUUGAAUUAUCUUGUUUUUGAAUUCUGUGUAUAAAUAGAUAGCUAAGUGGAUGUUAUUCUGUGUGGAAAGAGAAGAAAGAAACACUAGAGAGAAAGAGAGAGGGAGUGUGUAGCUUUUGUUUAAUUAUUGUAAGCUUUUAUUGUUGAAAUAAAACAGUGUGUUUUAUCUCUUCUGAGUGUUUCAAAGCCACCACCAGUGGUUUCUCCCACCAACAAUUGGUAUCAGAGCCUCGUUCGUCACAAAACACAAGUAUUUUGGGAGAUACACGAAUUUUCAAAGUUGUCAAAAACAAUUUUUGAUCAUUCCACAAUGUAGAGCUCAUCCAUACGAACUCACUGGUGCAAAAAUCAGCUUCAUCGGAGCCCGAGGUGAUCCCCACGCGCCUCCUGAAAUUCCGGUAACUGUAGCCCAGUCUCACCCACGCGCUCCAGAGGUUGAAGACGCCAGAGGUUGAAGACGAGUGUCGUCCACGCGCGCCAUAUUCGAGCCGAUCCCCAGCCGAGCCGAUCUUUAGCCUCAGCCGAGCCGAUAGAAUAUUCCCCAGAAUAUUCCCGGUUCAACCCCAGCGAACCGCCUAACGUCCAGAAUCGGUUUUCAGACCGGUUCAGCCUAUUUCUGACCCAUUUUCAUCCAAGUCAGGCCGGUUCCCUACUGUUUUGAGCAUUCUGGAUCCAUCUACGGUGUCUGUUUUGCCAAAUUCAACUCCCAGAAGGUGAUAUAGUCAUUCAAAAAGCAAAAUGACUACAGAAAAUGCACAAACACUCAUCCCGAAGCUGACCAAAGACAACUAUGAUAGUUGGUGUAUCAGAUUGAAGGCAUUUCUUGGUUUACAAGAGUGUAUAGAGAUUGUGCAAUAUGGUUAUGAUGAACCAGAGUCUAAAGAAGUAGAAGAUACUUUAAAUGAGGCAGAAAAGCAAGUCCUCAAAGCAAAUAGAAAGAAAGACAACAAAGCAAAGACCAUAAUCUAUCAAGGUCUUGACGAAGCUAUAUUCGAAAUUAUUGCUUCCGCAGAAACAUCAAAAGAGAUAUGGGAGGCUCUCCAACAAAAAUACAAAGGUGCUGACAGAAUCAAGAAGAUUCGUCUCCAAUCUUUGCGAGGUGAGUUUGAAUUAUUGCAAAUGAAGGCCUUAGAAUCUAUUUUUGACUAUCACACAAGAAUUAUGGUGAUAGUCAAUCAGAUGAGAAGAAAUGGAGAAGCCCUCACAGAUGCUCGGAUUACAGAGAAAAUUUUGAGAUCCCUAUAUCCAAAAUUUUAUUUUGUUGUUGUCGUUAUUGAAGAGUCCAAAGAAGUGGACAAGUUGAUGGUGGAUGAGCUUAUGAGUUCUUUGCAAGCUCAUGAGCAAAAGAUCGUGAAAAGAAAUGGAGAUAAGGCAAUUGAGCAUGCCUUACAAGCAAAGUUGUCUCUCAAAGACAGAUAUGAGCAAGGGGAGACUUCAAUAAGUGGAUAUACCACUCAAGGAAGAAGUCCACAAAGACGAGGAGGAUUUCAGCAAUUCCAAGGAAGAGGAUCUUGGAAUACAGGUUUUAGAGGAAGAGGUGGCAGAUAUACCACUAGAGGAGGCCGAGGACAACAAUCAUUCACUCCUAAAGGAAGAGGAGGCGGUUACAAUAACCGUGACAAGAGGAAUAUCCAGUGUUAUAAGUGCAAUCAAUUUGGGCACUAUAGCAUUGAAUGUCAAAGGAAAGCUCCAUUAGAGGUACGUGAGCAUGCAAACUAUGCAGAGGAGGAUGCCAACAGCAGAGGAGCAGCUGCAUUAUUUGUCCAACAAGGACUUGACAAGAAUCAAGAGAAUAUUUGGUAUCUUGAUUCUGGAGCCAGCAAUCACAUGUGUGGCCAACGAGAUCUAUUUGGCGAUCUAGAUGAGACCAUACAAGGUCUAGUCACCUUUGGAGAUACAUCAAAAGUUCCAUUCAAAGGUAAAGGCAACAUCCCAAUCAAGUUGAAGAAUGGCGAUCAUAGCUACAUCGCCAAUGUCUACUAUGUCCCAGCCAUAAAGCAAAACUUGGUGAGCAUAGGUCAACUUCUAAAGAAAGGUUAUACACUUUUCAUGAAGAAUUGUCAUCUGACAGUUACAGACUACAAUGGGAGAUUAAUUGCCUAUGUGAAAAUGUCCAAGAAUAGGAUGUUUCCUUUAAACAUCCAAUAUGAUGCAGCAAAGUAUUUGAGUGCCAUCACCAACAGUGAAGAGUGGCUUUGGCACCUGAGGCUUGGACAUCUGAAUUUCACAAGUCUGAAGAUGCUAGCAAGCAAGAAGAUGGUCAAAGGUAUGCCCCACAUUGAUCAUCCAGAUGAAGUCUGUGAGAGUUGUGUCCUCAGCAAACAUCACAGAUCCAAUUUUGCCAAAGAAGUCAACUGGAAAGCAAACAAGCCACUGGAGUUAGUGCACACAGAUGUGUGUGGUCCCAUAAAGCCUAUGUCGACUGGACCAAAUAGGUACUUCCUUACUUUCAUUGAUGAUUUUAGCAGAAAGACGUGGAUAUACUUUCUGAAGAGGAAGUUAGAAGUGUUCAAUUGUUUUAAAGAUUUUAAAGCAAUUGUUGAGAAGCAAAGUGGCUAUAAGAUCAGAACCGUGAGAUCUGAUCAAGGUGGAGAAUAUACAGCAAAUGACUUUGAAGCCUUUUGUACACAACAAGGCAUCAAACAUCAGACAACACCAGCUUAUACACCACAGCUGAAUGGUGUAGCUGAAAGAAAGAAUCGAACGAUUCUUGACAUGGCGAGAAGUCUACUCAAAGCAAAGAAGCUGCCCAAACAAUACUAGGCUGAAGCUGUAUCAUGUGCAGUGUAUCUACUGAAUCGCUGCCCAACCAAAAGUUUGCAAGCUGUCACUCCACAAGAAGCAUGGAGUGGUCACAAACCAAGUGUUACUCAUCUUCGAGUCUUUGGUUGUGUGGCAUAUGCAAAGAUCCCAGAUGCAAGAAGGACCAAACUCGAUGAUAAAAGCGAGAAAUGCAUCUUUGUCGGAUAUGGUGAGAGAAAGAUGGGAUACAAGCUGUAUAAUCUCAUCACAAAGAAGGUAAUUAUGAGUAGAGAUGUUAUCUUUGAAGAAGAUAAAACAUGGCAAUGGAAGGAUGACCAAGAAGCAGUCAAAUGGAUCAGCACUGAUUUGAUCCUUGAAGAUGAAGUGGAAGUACCACCAGUACUUGCAGAAGGUCUGAUAUUACCGGCAGAUGAGCCACAAAGUUCGGUACACAGAUUCCCUGUAUUCAACAGGAGAAACACACCAGAAUCAUCAUCAGCAUCCUCAUCAGAAGGACCAAGAAGGAUGAGAAAUCUAGACGAGUUGUACGAUGUCAUGCAAGUCAUGGAAGAUACAACUCUAUUUUGUUUCUUUACAGAUACUGACCCACUUAGCUUCAAUGAAGUUAUCAAAGAAGAGAAGUGGAUAUAAGCAAUGGAUGAAGAAAUACAUGCUAUUGAGAAGAAUGACACCUGGAAGCUGACUAAUCUACUAGAAAACAAGAAAGCAAUAGGUGCCAAAUGGGUCUAUAAGACAAAGAAGAAUGCAAAAGGAGAAGUGCAAAGAUACAAAGCAAGAUUAGUAGCAAAAGGCUACAAAUAAAGAGAAGGCAUUGACUAUGGAGAAGUAUUUGCUCCAGUAGCCCGGCUAGAGACAAUCAGACUGAUGAUCUCACUAGCUGCACAACAUAGAUGGAAGAUCUAUUAACUCGAUGUGAAGUCAGCAUUUCUGAAUGGCUUCCUAGAAGAAGAGAUCUAUGUUGAACAACCACUUGGAUACAUCGAAGCUGAAAAUGACGGCAAAGUAUACAAGUUGAAGAAAGCUCUCUACGGUUUGAAGCAAGUUCCGCGUGCUUGGAAUACCAGAAUUGACAGGUAUUUUCAAGAAAAUGAAUUUGAAAAAUGUCCAUAUGAACACGCAAUAUAUGUGAAGAAAGAAGCAGAUAACAACAUAUUAUUUGUGUGCCUAUAUGUUGAUGAUUUGCUAUUCACCGGCAACAACCCAACCAUGUUUGAAGCCUUCAAGAAAAGCAUGGUACAAGAGUUUGAGAUGACAGACAUUGGUCUGAUGGCACACUUUCUUGGCUUAGAAGUGGUGCAGAAAGAAGAAGGGAUUUUUGUAUCCCAAAGCAGUUAUGCCAAAGACAUUCUUGAAAGGUUCAAGAUGGAAAGCUGCAAUCCGGUAUCAACUCCAGUUGAGAAUGGAGUAGAAUUGAGGAAGAGUAAAGUUGGAAAUGUUGAUCCAACUUACUUCAAAAGCUUAGUAGGAAGCUUAAGGUACUUGACAUGUACCAGACCGGAUAUACUCUACGGAGUUGGUCUUAUCAGCAGAUACAUGGAGACACCAGACCAGUCUCACUUGAAUGCAGCCAAGAGAAUUCUUCGCUACAUCAAAGGAACAAUCAAUGAAGGUAUGUUUUAUACCUCAAGUACAAACUUCAAUCUUGUUGGCUACUCGGAUAGUGAUUGGGGUAGAGAUCUGGAUGAAAGGAAAAGCACAACAGGGUUUGUCUUUUUCAUGGGAAAUACAUUUUUCACAUGGUCAUCCAAGAAGCAAUCGAUAGUAACGUUAUCAAGCUGUGAAGCUGAGUAUGUUGCUGCCAACUCAGCUGUAUGCCAUUUAAUAUGGUUAAGAAAUAUGCUGAAGCAUUUGGGAUUUCCUCAAGAAGAUCCCACAGAGAUUUAUAUUGAUAAUCGAUCAGCGAUUGCAUUAGCAAAGAACCCGGUGUAUCAUGAACGAAGUAAACACAUUGAUACACGUCAACACUUUAUCCGAGAGCAUAUAAAGAACAAAGAAGUCGAGCUGAUAUCCUGCAAGACAAAUGAUCAAGUUGCAGAUAUCUUUACAAAGCCAUUGAAGGGAGAAACAUUUAUCAGACUGAAGUUCAUACUUGGCGUGACAUCCCUCGAUUAAGUUUAAAGGGGGGAUUUGUUGCAUUAAACUCAAUCUAGAAGGUCAAGGAAGGCAACCACCACUUGCAACCACCAGCUGUCACCGCCCAGCCACAAACCGCCCAGCCGCCAGCCACUAGCUGUAUGCCGCCAGCCUCCAGCCGCCUUCACACUUGAAGGUUGAAUUAUCUUGUUUUUGAAUUCGUGUAUAAAUAGGUAGCUAAGUGGAUGUUAUUCUGUGUGGAAAGAGAAGAAAGAAACACUAGAGAGAAAAGAGAGGGAGUGUGUAGCUUUUGUUUAAUUAUUGUAAGCUUUUAUUGUUGAAAUAAAACAGUGUGUUUUAUCCCCUCUGAGUGUUUCAAAGCCACCACCAGUGGUUUCUCCCACCAACACUUUCACCUUAGAGGAAGAGGAGGAAGGGGAGGUGCAAAAGAUAAUAAGCAUGUGUAGUUUUGAGAAGUUGAGCAACUUGGAGGUGAAUAAAAAUGGGAAGCACCGUCCGGACACAUCAAUUGCUAUUCAAAACAGUGUAUACUUCAGGAGAGGUGAGAUAGGCGACUGGGCAAAUCACUUGACACCUGAAAUGGGAGCACGUCUAGAUGACAUAAUGGAGCAGAAACUCAAGGGUUCAGGCUUGAAGCUGCCGAGGUGAAUGUGCCUAGGGUCCCAUUUGCUUGUGAUUAUUGCCGAAGCGGGUUCAUCAAAAGCUGUUAUCAACAUCUCGUGAAACAGCAACUGUGUAUCCCAAUAAAUACCCUCUCUGUUCAUCUCUUGUAUUUCCCAGCAAGUAUUCACAUUUUGUGAAUCAUCCAUGUCAAUAAGCA